AAACAUUAACUCGGUGCAAAUAUAGAGAGCAUUAUAG
rnacentral:misc_RNA from 1 species